CUCUCUGAUUCUAUCUCUAAUUCUCUCUAUUGUCCUUUUCUUCUUCUUAUCUUCUUCUAUGUUCAAUUAAUUGAUGUAACUGAACUCUAUUAUUGCAAUUAAUUUAUUGUGUCUUAGUUCUCUUUUUCAAUUUCCGGUUUCAUAUUGUUGAAUUGUUGGAAUUGGGUUUGUGGUUGAAGCUCAACUAUAACAUUUGGUAUCACAGCAGUACGAGAGCUGAGAAAAUGAUACCCGUAGUAAAACCCAUGAAGAGCAAGUUAAAAGGAUGGAGAAAAAACUGGGAGAUCGUAGCGUGGUCUACCAGAGUACAGAUGAGACGUGAAACAUCUCUAUGGCAGGCAAGAUAAACUGGAAAGUCUGAUGAUAGAAAUGAACAGUAAAUAUGAAAGUAUGGUGUCUACGAGAUGAUAGAAAUGAACAGUAAAUAUGAAAGUAUGGUGUCUACGAUUGGGAGUAAGGCAGACCACGGGGGGAAACAAGUUGAAGGUUAUCGCACUCCAUCUCAAAUUAGCAAUUGUAGUCCUACUGGAGGUGACCAUCACUUUGGAAACACUAGUGGAGCUAGAGAGACUAGGAUGAAAACUAAAUUACCCAAAAUAGAUUUUCCUUAUUUUGAAGGAGAAAGCCCUAGAGAAUGGCUGAGGGAAGCCCAAAAAUAUUUUUAGAUACAUCAAGCAGCUGAUGAAAUUUGGGUGGGAAUAGCUGAGAUGUAUUUGAAGGGAAAAACAUACAUAUGGUCUUAUGGCUUCAUCUUCAACCAUCCCAAUGCUGAUUGGGACAUAUUUUCUAGUGAGAUUUGUAGACGAUUUGCUGAAGACAUUGCCGUGGAAGUGAUAGAAGUAUUCAGCAAGCUGAGGCAAAAAGGAUCCAUUAUGGAAUAUCAAGAGCAAUUUGAAGAGCUGAAAUCCCGGGUAAUGAUAUCCCUACCCCCAUUUACCUGAGUCCUACUAUAUAUCCAUAUUCACCAAUGGAUUGAAAGAGGAAAUUAAGUCAAUGGUUAAGAUCAUCAAACCUACCACCUUAGCCAAAGCCUUUGAGAUAGCCCUGUUGCAAGAAAACACUAUAAUAACCUCGAACAAGCCUUUAAAAACACUAGAAUCAUUUUUGCAACCCAAGUGGCCUUACUCUUCCCGUAAGACUUCUGAAAACAUCCGCUGGAAGUCUGGAACCAAUCCCCUGUUGAUCAAACCCAAAAAAAUACAAUCAAUCAUUUGAAAUUUAGAACCAUUACUCCCACAGACUUCUAGACAAAAAAGAGUCUUGGACCUUACUAUAAUUGUGAUGAAAAAUACACUCCUGAGCGUAUUUGCAAGAAUAAGUUGCCGAACUCAAUAUUGAUUGAUGAAAGAGAAGAGCCGAUAGGGGAAUAUUCCGGCACAAGAUAGGCAAUUAAGUGAAGGAGAUUGGGGAAAUGAGAUUAUGGAGAUAUCAAUCACCGAUAGGGGAAUAUUCCGGCACAAGAUAGGCAAUUAAGUGAAGGAGAUUGGGGAAAUGAGAUUAUGGAGAUAUCAAUCAGUGCACUCAUAUGAAGUUUGAGAUUCCAGGUCUGAUCAAGAGGAGGAGGAUAUCUGUAUUGAUCGAUAAUGGUAGUACACAUAACUUCCAUAAUGAAAAAAUGAUGCAAUAACUAAGGUGUAAGAUGCUAACAACCAAACAAGUGAUAGUAAAGUAGCCAAUGGUGAGAAACUGAUGAGCACAGCCAUAUAUAACCCACAUGUUUGGACUAUGCAAGGAAUGGAGUUCCAAUAUCAACAGAGAGUCAUUAGACUUGGAGACAGUGAUUUGGUGCUUAGAAUGGAUUGGCUAAGCCAAUUUGAUCUUGUCUUAUUUGAUUUCAGCAGGGGCAACAUCAAAUUUGAUUUUGAGGGGGAGGAGAGAGCUCAAAAGUGAAUCCUCCAAGAGAAACUUAAGGAUAAUAGCCAGUAGUGAAGUCAGCCAGUGGUUUUGAAAGUAGCCUUAUGGGGUUAUAGCUCAGUUGAAUUCCUUAGCAGAAGAAGAGGCAGAACUUGUACCUAGUGUGGUGUUAACUUUGAUUGAGCAAACACUUACCAGAAGUUCAGACCAAAAGCUUGCUGUCAAAUACUAUGGACACUUACCUGUGGUUAUUAAGGGUUUGACAAUGAACGGUCCAGUUAAUAAGAGUUAUGCUACAAUGACAAAGGACUUUGACAAAGUUGGAUCUACACUAAUCAUUUCAAAAAUGAAAAUUUUAAAUCAUUUGAAAUCAGUGGCCUGAAUUAUGCCAACACACUUUGUAAAUUCACUUUUGUAACCCAACUUUGUUGAAGUAGAAUUAUUGAGUUAAUAAUGAUCUAUUUUCUGUUGGAGUCAUGCUUUUAUAGAUUUCUGAUGGCAUUUUCCUAUGAACCCUCAAAAGAUUACUCUGGUAAAGUUGCUGGCACCAUUUCUAAAGAAGAUUCAACUUCCUUGGUCUUUGACAAGCUGAGACAAAUAGAUAAGAGAUUGGAAAAUCUAAAGAUGUGCCCUUUUGAAGUUCUAACUGAUAAUGAGCUGGGCAAGCAAAUUGCUGAUCCUAAAAUGAAAGGCAUAUGGGAAAAUAGAUUACAACAGGUUGCUGGGAUGGAGGGUACAUCUUAUGGCGUAGCAAUUAUGCCAAAUAACUCACACUCCCUAGUUAGCAACGAAGAUCCUUGGAUUUUACGUCACGAUACUCCUUUUUCUCCUCGUAGACCUAGCAAAAUUCAAAUAAGAAGGGAAGCUGAAGGAACUAAAGAAGCUCCAGGUGACAGUCAUCCUAUUAAUUAUAAGUUACAAACAGGCAAUGCUAAGGUGUUGAACAUAGAGAUACCAUUGAAGGAUGCAACCUGGCAAACUCCUGAACUUAUACGGACAGUAUUUCCUUCAUUUGAACUUCGAGGACAAGGUUAUUUUAGGGGGGAGAGAUGUUAUGAGGAGAAGCAAAGAGGUUAGCUGGAAUGGGAAAAGAAAGGUAAGAGGAAUAUCAUAGCAAAGCAAAUAGAAGAAGAAAAAUGUGGCCAACGGAUUAAUAGGAAAUUCAAAUGGCGAGACAACGUCGUUUUAAUCAAAUCAUAGCGUGAAAGUCAAACACACGUUUUCCUCAAUUUCUUCCUUGCACGGUUUUGUUUUCUAUUAUAACCAUGAUAGGGAGGAAAUAAUAGGGCAUGAUUGAUAAUUGUGCAAGUUCCCUUCUCUCUCGUCCUUUUCUUCUUUUUAUUUUCUUCUAUUUUCAAUUAAUUGCUGUAAUUGAACUCGGGCGAAUCCAGGGGUCGAGUUCAGUUAGGACGGACCGUGAGCGUUAAAAGCUUACCAUAGACGGUCAACAUUCGUGAUAGCGAGAUUGUUUAUUAAUAUUUAAUUAGAUAAUAUUCAAAAAAUCGUACGAAUUAGAACUAGAUACACCACUAGAACUAGAAUUAGAUAUAAACUUUCAUUUUGGAUGAAAAAAUCGUUCCAUAAUCUGCAAAAUGUCCUGAUUUAUUUUUCAAUUAAAUAGGCAAUAUAUAUUAACAAAAUGUCAUUAUUCAGUUUACAAUUAAAGUUAAUUAAACAAGCAUUGUUAUUUUAACAAAAUUGAAAUUAUUUAAGUGCUUAUAUCAAUUUUAUAUGCUUGUAUGGUUCCACCUUUUUACAAUCGAUUUUUUGUGAACGAAAAGUGG
rnacentral:lncRNA from 1 species